rnacentral:rRNA from 1 species
GGGGAAUAUUGCACAAUGGGCGCAAGCUUGAUGCAGCGACGCCGCGUGAGGGAUGGAGGCCUUCGGGUUGUGAACCUCUUUCGCCAGUGAAGCAGGCCUGUCCCUGUGUGGGUGGGUUGACGGUAGCUGGAUAAGAAGCGCCGGCUAACUACGUGCCAGCAGCCGCGGUAAU